UACGGGGGGGGCAAGCGUUGUUCGGAAUUACUGGGCGUAAAGGGCUCGUAGGCGGCCAACUAAGUCAGACGUGAAAUCCCUCGGCUUAACCGGGGAACUGCAUCUGAUACUGGAUGGCUUGAGUUCGGGAGAGGGAUGCGGAAUUCCAGGUGUAGCGGUGAAAUGCGUAGAUAUUGGGAAGAACACCGGUGGCGAAGGCGGCGACCUGGUCCGGGACUGACGCUGAGGCGCGAAAGCGUGGGGAGCAAACAGG
rnacentral:rRNA from 1 species